rnacentral:rRNA from 1 species
UACGUAGGUGGCAAGCGUUGUCCGGAUUUAUUGGGUUUAAAGGGUGCGUAGGCGGCCCUGUAAGUCAGUGCUGAAAUAUCCCAGCUUAACUGGGAGGGUGGCAUUGAUACUGCGGGGCUAGAGUACAGAUGAGGUAGGCGGAAUUGACGGUGUAGCGGUGAAAUGCUUAGAUAUCGUCAAGAACACCUAUAGCGAAGGCG